CACGUAGGGGGCGAGCGUUGUCCGAAUCAUUGGGCGUAAAGAGCUCGUAGGCGGCUCGGUAAGUCGGGUGUGAAACCCCCAGGCUCAACCUGGGGACGCCACCCGAGUACUGCUGUGGCUAGAGUCCAGUGAGGGGAGUGUGGAAUUCCCGGUGUAGCGGUGAAAUGCGCAGAUAUCGGGAGGAACACCAGCGGCGAAGGCGGCACUCUGGGCUGGAACUGACGCUGAGGAGACGAAGCGGUGGGUAGCAAACAGG
rnacentral:rRNA from 1 species